GCCCCCUUCGUCUAGCGGCCCAGGACGCCGGGUUCUCAAUCCGGAAACAGUGGUUCAACUCCACUAGGGGGUA
rnacentral:tRNA from 1 species